AGUGAACGCUGGCGGUAGGCCUAACACAUGCAAGUCGAACGGCAGCACAGUAAGAGCUUGCUCUUACGGGUGGCGAGUGGCGGACGGGUGAGGAAUACAUCGGAAUCUACUUUUUCGUGGGGGAUAACGUAGGGAAACCUACGCUAAUACCGCAUACGACCUACGGGUGAAAGCAGGGGAUCUUCGGACCUUGCGCGAUUGAAUGAGCCGAUGUCGGAUUAGCUAGUUGGCGGGGUAAAGGCCCACCAAGGCGACGAUCCGUAGCUGGUCUGAGAGGAUGAUCAGCCACACUGGAACUGAGACACGGUCCAGACUCCUACGGGAGGCAGCAGUGGGGAAUAUUGGUCAAUGGGCGCAAGCCUGAUCCAGCCAUACCGCGUGGGUGAAGAAGGCCUUCGGGUUGUAAAGCCCUUUUGUUGGGAAAGAAAAGCAGCAGGUUAAUACCCCGCUGUUCUGACGGUACCCAGAGAAUAAGCACCGGCUAACUUCGUG
rnacentral:rRNA from 1 species